AUGGGUACUAAUUCUGCGGCGUCCCGCGGCGUCGAACGGACAAGCAAUGCCGGAAUAAGCUGCGCUGAGGUUCCCGGUGCGUCGGAGAAGACGGUGCAGGUUGCUUCCGCGGUUGCGCUUGCGGUGCACUCGGAGAACGUUGCCCACGCCGACAGCAGAAAGGCUGCUGCCGCCGAUGUCGGUGGCGGCGGCCUGAAGAAGCAGCCGAAAAUCCGUCGCCUGGACAGCCUCUGCCGUCCUGGCCAUGAUUCCGAGAAAGGAAGAGCCCACCCGCCGCCGGCGAAGACGGAUGAUCGCGCAGGUGACGAGGCCGGUUCCGCGUGUGCAAAAAAUUUGAAUGCCAUCAUCAGGUCGCCGUCCGGGACGGCCAUGGCCACCAUUGCGCCGGCGGAUGUCAUCUUCGGUGACGGCAACCGGACUGAUCCGGCCAUCCAAGCAUAUCACCAGGUAUCUGCGCCAGGAAGCGGUGAAAUCUGCGAUGGUGAUCAAGAAGCGGAUCCGAGUUCUUCUCCAAAUUCUUAUGUUGAGCUGGCAGCUUCGUCACACACCAAGGCGGCCGGGGCCUUGGAGCACUCGUCCGUAUCCACGGACGAUGCCACCAACGACGAAGACAUUCCGGCCAAUCACAUAGAAGCGCAUCUCCAGAUGCCCGCUCCUGCAAGCGGCAGCGACCAAGAUUCCGGCCCGAGUUCUCCGAAUCCUUCUGUGGAAAGGAGCCCACCUUCGCACAUAAAGCCUUGCGAUGCCUCCAUGCCUCCCAUUGCGCCGUCGUUCGCCGCUGCCGCGGAUGGUAUCGACCUACAUAGUCUCGGAGAGAGGAUAGCCAUGGAGAUGGACGAGGGGGCCAUAAGAUCGGAGGUGGCGAGGCAGUUGAGCGCUCAUCGACACCAAGAACAGAGACCGAAGCGGCGCGUGCAGCGGAGAGCCGCCGCGAAUGCGGCGCCCGUGAAAUUCUCACUCCGCCUCUCCAACGAGGAGGCGAUGGAGGACGUGGCAGCGGUCUCCGCCCCCAAGGACGUCAAACCAGAGGCGGGGGCGCCGGCGAGGGACCGCAACAGAAAACGACGUCGAGGAGGCUGA
rnacentral:rRNA from 1 species